CCUCUCAAAAAAAAAAACCGAUGACGAUCUAAUACGCCUCCGUGAGGAAGAAACGUACUUUGAUCCGUAUAUUCCGCGUCCCCGCUGGCGAAUAUCCUCCCGGGAGCUGGAAUAUUUUGCCGGGAAGACCGAAUCUACCCUCUCCUGCUUUGCCUUUCUGGCCUGUCUUGCAGUGCACGGCCGGGACACCACACAUCAUCUUCUCCUUCUUCCCAUCGUCCCUGCCUUGCGCCGCGCCUCUCUCCGAGUUCAUUCCGUUCGUCGAUGGACCUCCUCGUCGUCCGGCCACCGCCUGGAGCAGCCGGCCAUCAGGGUUAAUUACUUCUUUACCAGGUCAGAUCGAGCCUAUCUAUCGCACGGACGUACUGUCCCUGGCUUGGUGCAUAAAAUUCCUGUACUGUAAUUUAAUUAUUCCAGUGCGAUGGCGUUCGGCACAAUACGGUGGAGAUUGGACGAGCAGCGAAGCAGCAGCAGCGAUAUACUAUGACUAAAUGAGUGAUGAAUUGAGAAGAUUGGUAGAGUCAUAUCCAUGCAUCCUAAUUAAGUGUGAUUCAGAGUUUCAGACUGCUCUGUACGUCUUCACUUCUGCAAGACGCUUUCUUGCCUGCCCGGGGAAUGGUCUGCACUGCAGGCGCGUAAACCAUGACAGAUACUGGUGUGAUCGGAAGAACAGAGGAGCGUCACCGAUGAUGCCGUGUGCAGUUGCCCUCGAGUUAGACGGAACUCCAUGAGGCAGGCUUCAACCUUCAAGAGAAUGCUAGGAGGCGGUGGCCUGGUGGAUUCGCAGAUCCGCGCACCACGAUGUGAAGCCAACCAACCUCAGUUUUGCACUGGCUCUACAAGGUUUCGGCUGUUCAGAGGUACUCCCUCCUCCUCCGAUUCUAAAUUGUUGUCGAAACAUUACAUAGAAAUUUUUUUAACAAUAGAUACAUUCAUAUUUGGACAAAUUUGAGCCAAAAAUUUAGAAUCAGCCAAAAAUUUAGAAUCAGAGGGAGUAUUUUUAUGCAUCCAAUUGUUUUACGGUCUGUAGUUCUUUUUUUUUUUUACCUCCAAAAUUCAGCAUUAGCGGCUUGUUCUAUACCUUAAUAAUUAUAGCUAAUUAGUGUCCUUUUGCUUCUAUUUGACAUGUCGUAAAAAUAUAAUGCUACUAGCUAAUUUUAAAUACUCCGUAGUAAAUUUUGUUCUACAGACAUAGUUUAGUACAUCCAAACUGAUAUGGUUAUUUGAUUUAUUCGAACGUGGUUUUCAUUAUAUAUGCUUAUGAAAAUGUUAUUGUAAAUUAUACUGUCAAAAUGGCUAAAACACGGCUGUAAUUAAUAGCACGACUUUACUGAGCCAAGUCGAGCGUCCGAAACGAACUGGUAUUAUGCAGGAAACUAUACGGUUAACUGCUUCACAUGGAUGCAAAGAAAGUGAAAGACCGAGCCGAUUUAUUCCCUGCAAGAGUAAUCACAGUAUGUAAUACAGAAGAAUGGUGACGGCAGGAACACAACACAACAAGCGGCCCAUGAUAUGGUUACAAUUUACACUCAUACAGG